GACGAACGCUGGCGGCGUGCCUAAUACAUGCAAGUUGAGCGCUGAAGGUUGGUACUUGUACCGACUGGAUGAGCAGCGAACGGGUGAGUAACGCGCGGGGAAUCUGCCUUUGAGCGGGGGACAACAUUUGGAAACGAAUGCUAAUACUGCAUAAAAACUUUAAACACAAGUUUCAAGUUUGAAAGAUGAAAUUGCAUCACUCAAAGAUGAUCCCGCGUUGUAUUAGCUAGUUGGUGAGGUAAAGGGUCACCAAGGCGAUGAUACAUAGCCGACCUGAGAGGGUGAUCGGCCACAUUGGGACUGAGAAACGGCCCAAACUCCUACGGGAGGCAGCAGUAGGGAAUCUUCGGCAAUGGACGAAAGUCUGACCGAGCAACGCCGCGUGAGUGAAGAAGGUUUUCGGAUCGUAAAACUCUGUUGGUAGAGAAGAACGUUGGUGAGAGUGGAAAGCUCAUCAAGUGACGGUAACUACCCAGAAAGGGACGGCUAACUACGUGCCAGCAGCCGCCGUAA
rnacentral:rRNA from 1 species